rnacentral:rRNA from 1 species
UACAGAGGGUGCGAGCGUUAAUCGGAAUUACUGGGCGUAAAGGGCGCGUAGGCGGUGAGAUGUGAGAGAUGUGAAAGCCCCGGGCUUAACCUGGGAAGUGCAUCUUUAACUAUCUGACUAGAGUGCAGCAGAGGGUGGCGGAAUUUCCGGUGUAGCGGUGAAAUGCGUAGAGUAUCGGGAAGGAACGUCGGUGGCGAAGGCGGCCACCUGGGCUGACACUGACGCUGAGGCGCGAAAGCGUGGGGAGCGAACAGG